rnacentral:tRNA from 1 species
GCCGCCGUAGCUCAGUGGUAGAGCGGUGGACUUGUAAUCCACAGGUCGUGGGUUCAAGUCCCACCGGCGGCA